rnacentral:rRNA from 1 species
AGAGUUUGAUUAUGGCUCAGGAUGAACGCUAGCGAUAGGCCUAACACAUGCAAGUCGAGGGGCAGCACAUGAAGUAGCAAUACGGAUGGUGGCGACCGGCGCACGGGUGAGUAACGCGUAUGCAACCUGCCUACAACAGGGGAAUAACCCGUUGAAAGACGGACUAAUACCCCAUAACACAGGGAUCCCGCAUGGGAAUAUUUGUUAAAGAUUUAUCGGUUGUAGAUGGGCAUGCGUUCCAUUAGCUUGUUGGUGAGGUAACGGCUCACCAAGGCAACGAUGGAUAGGGGAACUGAGAGGCUUAUCCCCCACACUGGUACUGAGACACGGACCAGACUCCUACGGGAGGCAGCAGUGAGGAAUAUUGGUCAAUGGACGCAAGUCUGAACCAGCCACGUCGCGUGAAGGAAGACGGCCCUACGGGUUGUAAACUUCUUUUGUAAGGGAAUAAAGUGUAGUACGUGUACUAUUUUGCAUGUACCUUACGAAUAAGGAUCGGCUAACUCCGUGCCAGCAGCCGCGGUAAUACGGAGGAUCCGAGCGUUAUCCGGAUUUAUUGGGUUUAAAGGGUGCGCAGGCGGGAGAUUAAGUCGGCGGUGAAAUUUUGCAGCUCAACUGUAAAAGUGCCUUCGAAACUGGUUUCCUUGAGUGUGGAUGAAGUAGGCGGAAUUUGUGGUGUAGCGGUGAAAUGCAUAGAUAUCACGAGGAACUCCGAUUGCGCAGGCAGCUUACUAAACCAUAACUGACGCUCAGGCACGAAGGCGUGGGGAUCAAACAGGAUUAGAUACCCUGGUAGUC